AUAGUCUGUGAUAGAAUUAAAGCUGUUGACAUCACUAUAGAUAGUCUGUGAUAGAAUUAAAGCUGUCUGAAAACAAUGAGAGCUCACAACACAAUUGACAUUGAGAACAUCACAGGGUGUAUGAAGGAGAAACAUGGACAGUGGAAUCACCCAUCAAUAGGGCUAUAAAGACAUAAAUAUUUUAUUCAAAUUAACCAAUUCCAAAUUUACUAGAGGUAAAGUUGUCAGAGAUGGGAAAUACAGG